rnacentral:pre_miRNA from 15 species
CCUUCGGAUGAAUUUUUGGUGUUAGCCCUGCGGCCCCACGCACCAGGGUAAGAGAGACUCUCGCUUCCUGCCCUGGCCCGAGGGACCGACUGGCUGGGCCUGCCUUCUGCCCAGCACACC